GACGAACGCUGGCGGCGUGCCUAAUACAUGCAAGUAGAACGCUGAAGGAGGAGCUUGCUUCUCUGGAUGAGUUGCGAACGGGUGAGUAACGCGUAGGUAACCUGCCUGGUAGCGGGGGAUAACUAUUGGAAACGAUAGCUAAUACCGCAUAAGAGUAGAUGUUGCAUGACAUUUGCUUAAAAGGUGCAAUUGCAUCACUACCAGAUGGACCUGCGUUUUAUUAGCUAGUUGGUGGGGUAACGGCUUACCAAGGCGACGAUACAUAGCCGACCUGAGAGGGUGAUCGGCCACACUGGGACUGAGACACGGCCCAGACUCCUACGGGAGGCAGCAGUAGGGAAUCUUCGGCAAUGGACGGAAGUCUGACCGAGCAACGCCGCGUGAGUGAAGAAGGUUUUCGGAUCGUAAAGCUCGGUUGUAAGAGAAGAACGAGUGUGAGAGUGGAAAGUUCACACUGUGACGGUAUCUUACCAGAAAGGGACGGCUAACUACGUG
rnacentral:rRNA from 1 species